GACGGAGGGUGCAAGCGUUGCUCGGAAUCACUGGGCGUAAAGGGUGCGUAGGCGGUCUCGCAAGUCUGGCGUGAAAGCCCAAGGCUCAGCCUUGGAAGUGCGCUCGAAACGGCGAGGCCGGAGUGCCGGAGGGGAGAGUGGAAUUCCCGGUGUAGCGGUGAAAUGCGUAGAGAUCGGGAGGAAUACCGGUGGCGAAAGCGACUCUCUGGACGGCAACUGACGCUGAGGCACGAAAGCGUGGGGAGCGAACAGG
rnacentral:rRNA from 1 species